rnacentral:lncRNA from 1 species
CACACCGAGAGGAGAAGGUCUACUUCAGCAAGAUCAAGCCUGCCAAGAAACUGCAUUUCACAGGCCUUGGUAACAGAUGUUCCACGUAGGUUGUAAGAGCACUGGGCAGAGCCAGUUGUUUCUUAGCUUCCAAAAGAGCUGGAAGCAAGAUGCUUUGGGGCCGCUCUACCCCUUUGCAAACAAGGCAGCCCAUUCGGCCUGGCAGCUCUAGGCCAAUGUAGCACACCCAGAGCAGAAGUUCUACUUCUCCCGGAUAAGGCCUGUCAAGAAACUGCCUUUCACAGGCCUUGGUAAGAGAUGUUCCCCGUAGGCUGUAAGAGCACUGGGCAGAGCCAGUUGUUUCUUAGCUUCCCAAAGAGCUCUAAGCAAGAUGCUUUGGGGCCUCUCUGCCCCUUUGCAAACAAGGCAGCCCUUUCGGUCUGGCAGCUGUAGGCAAAUGUAGCACACCCAGAGCAGAAAUUCUACUUCAGUAAGAUCAGGCCUGCCAAGAAACUGCGUUUCACAGGCCUUUGUAAGUGAUGUUCCCGGUAGGCUGUGGUAGCAUUGUUCAGUGCCAGUUGUUCCUUAGCUUCCCAAAGAGAUGGAAGCAAGAUGUAUGGGGCCUAUCUCCCCCUUUGGAAACAAGACAACACUUUGGGCCUGGCAGCUCUAUGCCAAUGUAGCACAACCAGAGCAGAAGGUCUGCUUCAGCCAGAUCAGGCCUGUCAAGAAACUGCAUUUCACAGGCCUUGGUAACAGAUGUUCCAGGUAGGUUGUAAGAGCACUGGGCAGAGCCAGUAGUUUCUUAGCUUCCCAAAGAGCUGGAGGCAAGAUGCUUUCGGGCCUCUCUACCCAUUUGCAAGGGAGACAGCACUUUGAGCAUGGCAGCUCUAUGCCAAUGUAGCACACCCAGAGCAGAAGGUCUGCUUCAGCCAGAUCAGGCCUGCCAAGAAACUGCAUUUCACAGGCCUUGGUAACAGAUGUUCCAGGUAGGUUGUAAGAGCACUGGGCAGAGCCAGUUGUUUCUUAGCUUCCCAAAGAUCUGGAAGCAAGAUGCUUUAGGGCUUCUCUGCCUCGUUGCAAACGAGGCAGCGUUUUGGGCCUGGCAUCUCUAUGCCAAUGUAGCACACCCAGAGCAGAAGUUCUACUUCAGCCAGAUCAGGCCAGCCAAGAAACUGCGUUUCACAGGCCUCUGUAAGAUAUGUUCCCGCUAGGCUGUUAGAGCACUGGGCUGAGCCAGUUUUUUCUUAGCUUCAGAAAGAGCUGAAAGCAAGAUGCUUG